CUNUUGAGCAACGCCGCGUGAACGAUGAAAGCCUUCGGGUUGUAAAGUUCUGUUGUCAGGGACGAAACCGUUUCGUUCGAACAGGGCGGGACGUGGACGGUCCCUGACGAGAAAGCCAGGGCUAAUUACGUCCCCGCAGCCGGGGUAAUACGUAGGUGGCAAGCUUUUUCGGGAAUUUUUGGGGGUAAAGCGCGCGCAGGGGUCCGCGUAAUUUUGAUGUGAAAGCCCGGGGUUCAACCCCGGUGUGCAUUGGAAACUGUGCGGCUUGAGUGCAGGAGAGGAAAGCGGAAUUCCACGUGGAGCGGUGAAAUGCGUAGAGAUGUGGAGGAACACCAGUGGCGAAGGCGGCUUUCUGGCCUGUAACUGACGCUGAGGCGCGAAAGCGUGGGGAGCAAACAGGAUUAGAUACCCUGGUAGUCCACGCCGUAAACGAUGAGUGCUAGGUGUUGGGGGUUUUGACACCCUCAGUGCCGCAGCUAACGCACUAAGCACUCCGCCUGGGAGAC
rnacentral:rRNA from 1 species